UAAUAUAUUCUUGUGUCACACCUGGGUUUCGGGGGCACCAAGACCCGGGCGUGAACUAAUCACCAGGUGUGCUGGGACCAAGUCUCACACAAAUGAUGAAUCAUGGUACAGAAACGAAUGUCACAUAUUUACUAUAUAAUAGGAGUUCUGUACAAAAUAAAUAAAUAAUUACAUCAUAUGGAGACAACGAUCCAGCAUCACAAAGUUGACUGGGAUACGACGGCUUAGACCUCUCACGAACUCAUCACAACAUCCUUCAUGCGCCUCAUCCUGCGGUACCUGUUCUUGACCUGAGGGGGUGUGAGACAGCAAGAGUGAGCUCACAUACGUUCAUCACUCAACAAGUUGUGGGGAAUAAUGUGCAUGAAGUGACCAAAGGUUGGAGCUCAUGUGAAGUGUAAGGCUUACCAAAGAGGAUGGUUAAAGCUGAGCAUUGCUUUUAAAGUUGGUCAAAAUUUUAUUAGUAGUUGCUAAGUGUAAGUAUAUACCAAACCAAAUAAGUAGUAGAUCAAAAUCUUAUAACCACACCUGCGAUGCAAUGCAUAUGACAAAUUGAAUUUAGUUCCAUAAAUUAAUCAUGUGAGGGUCCGAGCUGCUCAUGACCGUGAGCACUCUUGAUAUACCAGUUUUACACUCUAAAGAGGUUGUGCAUCUUGUUCCACAAGUGAUGGUACCCUUCUGCCAAGGGAUCACGACUCCCGUACACCUCUACCAAGGAAGUGAGGCAGGGUAACACUACGAGACCUUUACAAAGUUCCACUAGCUUCAGAAAACCCACUAUAGUUUCUAGGAAGCUCCAAUGCAGGGACUCCUCGACUGACCGCCAUCAUAGCAAACCAAAUAAGUAGUAGAUCAAAAAUCUGAUAACAACACAUGUGAUGCAAUGCAUAUGACAAAUUGAAUUUAGUUCCAUAAAUUAAUCAUGUUAGGGUUCGAGCUGCUCAUGACCGUGAGCACGCCUGAUAUACCAGUUUUAUACUCUGCAGAGGUUGCGCAUCUUUACCCACAAGUCAUGUUACCCAUCUACCAAGGGAUCGCGACUCCCAUACACAUCUACCAAGGAAGUGAUGCAGGGUAACACUACGAGGCCUUUACAAAGUUCCACUAGCUUCAGAAAACCCGCUACAGUUUCUAGGAAGCUCCAAUGUAGGGACCCCUCGCCUGACCGCCUUCACAGCAAAAUCAACCCAAGGGCCUCCCUACACUGACCACUCCCCUACUGCCCUUGCCCCUUUCGGGUAAGGUAGUCCUCCACUAGCUUUCCUAAUUAGUCAGCCAAGGGCGUCCCAUACCACCCUUGUGGUAGCACUGUUUUCACGGUUGGUUGCUCCAUGUUCCAAAUAACAUAAUGAUCUUAUCAUGAACAGUAAAUAACAAACUAAUAAUAAAAGUAUGAUCAUGAAUAAUAUGUAUCUCCAUACCCAAAACCACAUGAAGCAAUAGCAGGUACUACCCAAAAAUUCAGUGGUAAAACAAGGUAUAAAGAUAGCCAAACUAGGGUAAAAUAUUGGGUCCCAUCAAAAUUAACCUAUGCAGAUCAUUAUGAUUAAUAAGAACAUGACUGAGUAAAAUGAAGUGAUCAAGGGCACAACUUGCCUGGGACUUGAGAUUCCAGGUACCAACUUGCUCUCCAGGUGGCUCGUGACCUCAGUGCUAAACGCAGAAAUACAAACAAACAUGGUAUAGGCAAAAUUAGCAUCACACCAAACAUAAGUACAAACUGAAUAAUAAUGAUCUAUGUGUCGUAACGAGAUCGUGGGGUCGAGAAUCACUAAAUUCGGAGCUACGAUUUAAAAGAUAUGAUUUUCUAAAGAUUUAGGAGUCAGGUACAAAAGAAAUUAAGUACAUAAUUUUUAAUUUAUGUUUCAUAGCAAAAUAAAGUUAUCAGGAGAUAAAAAAUAUUAAUAUGAAUUUAUAGCAACUGGAAUGGAUCUAUUUGGAAUUUAAAUGGAUUUAAUAUGAAUUAAACAAGUUUCUAUAUUUAUUUUUACACUAAAAAUUAUUUUCUGUAUUAACUUAUUCAGAGUAUGGCUUGCGGCCACAAUUAUCCAGAAGACUAGGGGGUCACAUAUGAAUUUCAGGACCCAACUGCGCUAAUCUUUCUAUACCCGAGGAUGGCAGGUUGGUUUUUCAAAAACUGAGGGUCCCAAAUGUAUAAAUAGGCACGGUGAAGGGGUAAGGAGCAACCAGAGUCGUUGGAUCAGACACGCAUGGCUCUGAUUAGAAUCGAAUCGGUACGUGUUGUGGUACGUCAGAUCUCCAUCCAAUGGUUCUAGACACCGAGAAGCCACCGGAUACAUCCAUUGACAUAUCAACGACCAGGAUUUUAUUUACGCCCGUCGCGCUCAUAUCCAUCCAAAACUAAUCCAACGGACAUGCGAUAAUUGCCCUUAUGACUAAUCCUAUUCGUCGAUGAGCCACCUAACGGAUCCCACACUUCUCCUAUUACUCACCCCAAUUACAAGACCGCGCGGGCGCCGCCCAGCCCGUGUGGCGCCUCCACCGGCGAGCAGUGCACUCGACCCCAGGAGCCCUAUUUUCCCACCAGAAGCGAGCUACGCGCAGAACAGAGGAGAGGGAACUUCCAGGGGGCGACGACUCACCGAGAAGGAGCUGCGACCGAGCUGACCACGGGGCACGGUGGCCACACGACAAUUCCCAAUACCGGCGAGGAAUUCAUGUGUGUACCGCGAUCCUUUCAAGCCGAUUUCCUUGCCAACACCUCCCCCGGCCUCCAGAGACGAGACCAAUCACGCACGCAGGCGAGAGCAGCGAUGGAAUUGCAAAUUCCACAGAGGUCUGCGAAGGCGUAGAUUCUAGCCUAUGCCCCUGGUUCAGCGACCACGGAUUUGGU
rnacentral:lncRNA from 1 species